rnacentral:rRNA from 1 species
GGUAUUUUGACUAUACGAAGGUAUUGAAAUAAGAUUUUAAAUGAGUGCUAAGAGAAUGAUUAAACAAUUAAAAGCUUUCUUUAAUUGAAUAAUUGAAUUUAAUUUUUUAGUGCAAAAGCAAAAAUAAAAAUUAGGGACAAGAAGACCCUAUGAAUUUUUUAUUAAAUUUUAUAAAACUUUAUAUAAAAUUUAAUUUAAUUGGGGUGAUGGAAAAAGAAUAAAUAUCUUUUUUUAAAAGAAAAUUGGUUCCGUUUUUAGCGAUUAAAUGAAAAAAAUACUCUAGGGAUAACAGCGUAAUAAUUUUGGAUAGUUCAUAUAGAUAAAAUAGUUUGCGACCUCGAUGUUGGAUUAGGAUUCUUUUUUGGUGAAGAAGU